UCAUCGGGUGGGAUAAUCCUUAUCUGUUCCUCCAUUGGAGGACAGAUAAAACAUGAUGAUUGGAGAUGCAUGAAAUGUAAAAAAUAAAAAAGAAGUAAAUCUCAUGAGAUCUCAUUGUUUUAAAAGGGGUUUCCCUUUUGCUUGGUUUCCAAU
rnacentral:snoRNA from 1 species